UACGAAGGGGGCGAGCGUUGUUCGGAAUUACUGGGCGUAAAGGGCGCGUAGGCGGCGACUCUAGUCAGAUGUGAAAGUCCUGGGCUUAACCUGGGGACUGCAUUUGAUACUGGGUUGCUUGAAUUCGGGAGAGGAUAGCGGAAUUCCCAGUGUAGAGGUGAAAUUCGUAGAUAUUGGGAAGAACACCGGUGGCGAAGGCGGCUCACUGGCCAGUUUCUGACGCUGCAGCGCGAAAGCGUGGGGAUCAAACAGG
rnacentral:rRNA from 1 species